GUUUAACUUUCUAAAUGUUGUUAUUGUUGUCUAAAUAGAUUUGAAAUAACUACUUAGACAACUAUACUGUAAGAAACAGAAAAUGGAAAAUGUAAUACAUAAGUGAUUAAGUGGUAUAUGCUGGAAGAGGGUGAGGUGAGGUUCAUCCCUGACUAUCCUAGUUAAUGACAAGCACAACUGAGGACGCUUCAUCUGUUUCCGAGCUUCAGCUGGGAUUCUACUGCCCCCUACUGUGCCAACGAAGGGAACAAAUUAGAAUGUUGAUUGCCAGACUAUUAAAGCAGUAUUUCUCUUUUUAACACAUCCACAAUUGAAAUUAGAUAGGUUUGAGGAUAUUGUAAUACAUGGUAUGUAUUAACUUUGGCCACCUAAAUGCCCAUUUAUAUAAUAGAUUUUUAACAAGUAGCUCCUUUUUAGUGUGAUAGAAAACCAAAUAAUGUAUUAAGUGUUGCUUUUUACAUUUUAUUUCUGAGAAAAUUCAGCCAUCAAAAUAUAGCUGCCAGCGAGAAAUUCAAGUACCGCCAAAAAAUUGAGAUUUUCUGUGGGCGACGCUGUAGGUGCAAGUCAGCUAGACAAACAGACUGACAGAGGGAACAAAGAGCAACUGCAUAACGUAAUAUUUAGUGAGCAACAUAGCAUUCUCAAAUAAAAAUAGUUGGUAACACAGAUUACGAUGUCCCCUCGCCCACAGACAAUUCAGGGUCAGGAACCAUCUAAGAUGAUGUUGUUAAAAAGUUCCUCGAGCACCUUACGAGGUAUCGUGCGACACUUUCAAUUCAGGUCCUCUGGAGGUUUGCAAGUGAGAAGACAAUUGUGUGGGAUCUAUAUGUGCAGUGUGUAACAUAUCGCUCGAUCCUGCGUAGUAUGUAUCGAACAUGCCAGUGUAAAUGCAACGGAAAUAAUAAUGCAAACAAAGAUAUGUCUACCUAGCUUUUUUUCUCACUCGUCAUGUAAAUUAGCCCUCAUUAGGAUUGCUGACCUAGGAUCAGGUCCAUGUCCGUGAAAUGUAAUCUUACUCACGAUACAAAAGAAUAAUUACUAAUCUUAGACAAGGCUUAUCUUACUCUGAGACGCUUCAUAAACAUGAGCCUUGGUAUUCACAGGCGGUGUCCCGUCCAGGCGGGAGUGCCCAAGCCUUGUAGGGAGGUCUGCAACAUUUUCCUGUGAUAACAACCAAGUACCAGCAGAGGACGUGAAAAUACAAGAUUAUAAUUGACAUGCAUGUAGCCUACGCCAGUCAUUUCAAAUGUUGCCUAGUGCCACCCAAAGGCAUGGAUUGGCCCUGCUUGGACUUCGCCAACAGGGUUUACAAAGAUUGUGAGUCUAUAUUUAAAUGAACAAUAAAACCUGAUUUCAUUUUUGCCAGACCUUGUAAGAGCAAAGAACAAAUGUCUCUGAUUGACCGCCCUGCCCGACCAAUUAUUGUUAGGUAGCAUAGUGGUUAGAGACACCAAUUAGGCUAUCACUCAGUAGACCAGGUAUCAAAUCUGGCCAGGGACA
ensembl:lncRNA